GCGCCUGUAGCUCAACGGCUAGAGUACUUAGCUUCGGACUAAGGGGUUGUGGGUUCGAAUCCUACCAGGCGCGCCA
rnacentral:tRNA from 1 species